rnacentral:rRNA from 1 species
AACGAACGCUGGCGGCGCGCCUAAUACAUGCAAGUCGAGCGAGAAGACGUAGCAAUACGUUUGUAAAGCGGCGAACGGGUGAGGAAUACAUGGGUAACCUACCCUCGAGUGGGGAAUAACUAGCCGAAAGGUUAGCUAAUACCGCGUACGCUCCUUGGACUUCGGUUCAGGGAGGAAAGCGAUACCGUGGGUAUCGCGCUCUUGGAUGGGCUCAUGUCCUAUCAGCUUGUUGGUGAGGUAACGGCUCACCAAGGCUUCGACGGGUAGCUGGUCUGAGAGGACGAUCAGCCACACUGGCACUGCGACACGGGCCAGACUCCUACGGGAGGCAGCAGUAAGGAAUAUUGCGCAAUGGGCGAAAGCCUGACGCAGCGACGCCGCGUGGGGGAUGAAGGUCUUCGGGUUGUAAAGCUCUUUCGGACGGAACGAAAUGGUUAGGUCGAAUACGCCUGACUGAUGACGGUA